CACCGCCCGUCGCUACUACCGAUUGAAUGGUUUAGUGAGGUCGUUGUAGUGGCUUUGCCGCUCGACUGAUGCUGAGAAGAUGACUUAAUAUGACCAUUUAGAGGAAGUAAAAGUCGUAACAAAGUUUCUGUAGGUGAACCUGCAGAAG
rfam:Schistosoma rodhaini strain Burundi genome assembly, scaffold: SROB_scaffold0000885